rnacentral:rRNA from 1 species
UAAUACAUAAGCAACCUGCCCACGAAGACUGGGAUAAUCCUUGGAAACGAGGACUAAUACCGGAUAGGUUACGAAUUCGCAUGAAUUUGUAAUUAAAGGUUAGAAACACUGGUGGAUGGGCUUAUGGUGCAUUAGCUAGUUGGUGAGGUAACGGCCCACCAAGGCGAUGAUGCAUAGCCGGGCUGAGAGGCUGAACGGCCACAUUGGGACUGAGACACGGCCCAGACUCCCACGGGAGGCAGCAGUAGGGAAUUUUCGGCAAUGGGGGAAACCCUGACCGAGCAACGCCGCGUGAGUGAUGAAGGUCUUCGGAUUGUAAAGCUCUGUUGUAAGGGAAGAAUGAAUUGGAUAGAAUCCGAUUGUGACGGUACCUUACCAGAAAGCUACGGCUAACUACGUGCCAGCAGCCGCGGUAAUACGUAGGUAGCGAGCGUUAUCCGGAAUUAUUGGGCGUAAAGGGCGCGUAGGCGGCUUGUUAAGUUUAAGGUGAAAGAAUGGGGCUCAACCCCAUAAAGCCUUAGAUACUGGCAAGCUAGAGUACUGGAGAGGGUAGUGGAAUUCCAUGUGUAGCGGUAAAAUGCGUAGAUAUAUGGAGGAACACCGGUGGCGAAGGCGGCUACCUAGACAGAGACUGACGCUGAGGCACGAAAGCGUGGGGAGCAAAUAGGAUUAGAUACCCUAGUAGUCCACGCCGUAAACGAUGAAUGCUAGAUAUCGGGGCAACUCGGUGUCGAAACUAACGCGAUAAGCAUUCCGCCUGUGGAGUAUGCACGCAAGUGUGAAACAUAAAGGAAUUGACGGGGGCCCGCACAAGCGGUGGAGUAUGUGGUUUAAUUCGACGCAACGCGAAGAACCUUACCAGGCCUUGACAUCCCUUGCAAAACUCUAGAGAUAGAGCAGAG